ACAAUGGAGAGUUUGAUCCUGGCUCAGGAUGAACGCUAGCUACAGGCUUAACACAUGCAAGUCGAGGGGCAGCAUGGCGGAAGCUUGCUUCCGCUGAUGGCGACCGGCGCACGGGUGAGUAACGCGUAUCCAACCUUCCCCCUAGCAGG
rnacentral:rRNA from 1 species